UACGUAGGGGGCAAGCGUUGUCCGGAUUUAUUGGGCGUAAAGCGCGUGUAGGCGGCCAGGUAGGUCCGUUGUGAAAACUCGAGGCUCAACCUCGAGACGUCGACGGAAACCAUCUGGCUAGAGUCCGGAAGAGGAGACUGGAAUUUACGGUGUAGCGGUGAAAUGCGUAGAUAUCGUAAGGAAGACCAGUGGCGAAGGCGGGUCUCUGGACAGUUCCUGACGCUGAGGCACGAAGGUCAGGGGAGCAAACGGG
rnacentral:rRNA from 1 species